UUCUGGAGGCUGGAUGCCAAGAGGUGCUA
rnacentral:piRNA from 1 species